rnacentral:lncRNA from 1 species
AUACACCAAAACAGUGAGAUGUUGCGACGGAGAGACACCAGAACGACGACAAGACUGUGGGUGGAGCAGAUGGGAUGAAGAAAGUCGCCGCUAGAAUUGCCGGAGAGGGGCGGCGGCGCCGAGAGGUAAAGGAAAGGAAGCUAAGCUGAGUGAUGGGAGGAAGAAGAUCUGCGUUCCUAUUUUAUUUUUAAUUUUUAUUCUUA